rnacentral:rRNA from 1 species
UACGAAGGGGGCUAGCGUUGCUCGGAAUCACUGGGCGUAAAGCGCACGUAGGCGGCUUUUUAAGUCAGGGGUGAAAUCCUGGAGCUCAACUCCAGAACUGCCUUUGAUACUGAGAAGCUUGAGUCCGGGAGAGGGAUGCGGAAUUCCAGGUGUAGCGGUGAAAUGCGUAGAUAUCUGGAGGAACACCGGUGGCGAAGGCGCAUCCUGGACCGGCAUUGACGCUGAGGCGCGAAAGCCAGGGGAGCAAACGGG